GACGAACGCUGGCGGCGUGCUUAACACAUGCAAGUCGAACGGAAAGGCCCCUUUGGGGGUACUCGAGUGGCGAACGGGUGAGUAACACGUGAGUAACCUGCCCUUGACUUCGGGAUAACUUCAGGAAACUGGGGCUAAUACCGGAUAGGAAUCCUUGCUGCAUGGUGGGGGUUGGAAAGCUUCGGCGGUUUUGGUUGGACUCGCGGUUUAUCAGCUUGUUGGUGGGGUAGUGGCUUACCACGGCGUUGACGGGUAGCCGGCCUGAGAGGGGGAGCGGCCACAAUGGGACUGAGACUCGGCCCAGACUCCUACGGGAGGCAGCAGGGGGGAAGAUUGCACAAUGGGCGGAAGCCUGAUGCAGCAACGCCGCGGGCGGGAUGACUGCCUUCGGGUUGAAAACCGCUUUCAGCAGGGGCGAAGCUUGUGGUGACGGUACCUGCAGAAGAAGCACCGGCUAACUACGUG
rnacentral:rRNA from 1 species